CAAAUUUCAACUUUUAAUGUCAGUUACUCUAGCCUGUCCCUUGACUGGCCACUUGGUGUUAUUGUCCAGUGGCAUUUGUCUGCUGUAUGGUUGUUUUCUAUUUUAACUUUUGCUGGCAUUAAAAGGUGUGCAUGUUGAAUGUAGUCUUAAACAGACAGAUGUCCCAGUGUAGUUCUCGCCAUGUUUGCCACCAACAUGACUUCAAGUCAUACCACUUGGUCAGACUUUUCCUUUUAACAAAUGUUCAAAUCUAUAAAUGAUAAACUGUCCUUAAAACCAGAUUGGAGGUGGGGGAGAGGCUGAAGAUGUAGUUGUGUAGCAGAGAACUUGCCUAACAUGUGCAGGUUGAAAUAAGGCAGGUCUAGUGAAAUAGACCUGUAAUCCCAGCUCUUAAAGGCUGUGGCUAGAGGAUGGCGAGUUCAGCCUUGCCUGAGCAUCCUAGUCUCCAAAGUGAAGAGAGAGCUGGGGUAUAGUUCAGUGGUAGAGACCUUGUGCAGCCUCCUUGAGGCUCUAGCUCUAAUCCUUAGUUACCACCAUCACCCCAACCCUCCAAAAAAAAAAAAAAAAAAAAAAAAAAGGAAGGCUUAAUCCACAGUCAAGGUCAGGUGUCAGAAUGCUCAGGUGUUUCAGAUGACCUCAUUUGAUCUCCUAGCAUUCUUUACUGGUCCCUCCUUGGCCUCGUUCCUUAUAUAUUUACCCCUGUUGUGCAGUUCCCUUCACAAAGGUGUAUCAGUGAGUGUUCAGUCCUGGGGUUUCUAGAAUGUGGGCAGCUCUUAUCAGCACCUGUAGCAAAGACACUUGGCAUUUGGGAGGAACAUGCAGAGGCAUUCCCCUUCCCCCAUUAACUUACAGCACUGCCUUAGUUCAAAUGUAAGCCCAGCAUGGUGGCACAGGCCUUUAAUUCCAGCAGAAAGAUAGAUCUCUGAGUUCAAGGCCUGCUUGGUCUAGCUUCAGGCCAAAGGCUAAGUAGUGAGACCCCCAUUAAAAUAGCAAACAAAACCCCAAGAAUGAAUGUGACAAAGGUGAUUGAUACUUGCUGAUGAACAACAUUGACUACCUUUUUCUGUUUUGAGUGCACUGAACUCCGUGAGCCUUAGGACCUGACGUAGACCUUCCCUUUGAGUAGAUGGGUUGCAUGCCCAGUCACGGUAAGCUGACACAGGCUUAGCCCUGGUGCUCAGCUCUGGACCCCUCUCUGUCAGUCUUGGGUUAAACAUACUCUCUAGGUGAAGUGGGACAAGAAGCUUUCUACUGGCUUGACUUAAGUUAGCUGCUCUCAUUGCAUCCUUCCCCUCAGAGUCAGUGGGAACAGCUGCAUGGAUACUGAGUAAUUUAUUGAAAUGCUGCCUCCCUCCACCUCAUUCUGUAGCCUCUGCCCCUUCAUUACUCUAGGCAGGGGAUACUUAUCUCAUUUGACUGUGGGCAGCUUCCCUGGGGCCCUAGCCCCGAAUUGCCAGUCUGCACACAGUAUAUGACAUUGGAUGUUGGUCUCUUGCUAAGGAAGAGAAUGCCCUACGAACUGUCCUGGCCAGUGUCGGAAAGGGGGAUGGUAUUUAUUUUUAUAUUGUAUAUAUUUGUCAUGGUCUUCUGGGUCCCUGCUGUUUCACUGAGAGCGACAAUUACCUCAAUAGUUAGUUUGAUACUGUGUGUUGGAUAACUUUUUGAAAGAACUUUUUAAAAAGCUUUUUUGAUCUUUGGAGAUCUGUAGAUUUAUUUACGUAUGAACUGGUUAUUUUGUAUAAAGUACAUUGUUAAAUU
rnacentral:lncRNA from 1 species